rnacentral:rRNA from 1 species
GACGAACGCUGGCGGCGUGCUUAACACAUGCAAGUCGAACGGCAAGGCCCUGCUUUUGUGGGGUGCUCGAGUGGCGAACGGGUGAGUAACACGUGAGUAACCUGCCCUUGACUUUGGGAUAACUUCAGGAAACUGGGGCUAAUACCGGAUAGGAGCUCCUGCUGCAUGGUGGGGGUUGGAAAGUUUCGGCGGUUGGGGAUGGACUCGCGGCUUAUCAGCUUGUUGGUGGGGUAGUGGCUUACCCAGGCUGUGACGGGUAGCCGGCCUGAGAGGGUGACCGGGCACAUUGGGACUGAGAUACGGCCCAGACUCCUACGGGAGGCAGCAGUGGGGAAUAUUGCACAAUGGGCGGAAGCCUGAUGCAGCAACGCCGCGUGCGGGAUGACGGCCUUCGGGUUGUAAACCGCUUUCGCCUGUGACGAAGCGGGAGUGACGGUAAUGGGUAAAGAAGCACCGGCUAACUACGUG